AUUAUAAAUCACAAUUAUUAUUCCAAAUUAAUGAAAUUAUACAAGAAGGUUGAAUUAGCCUGUCUGUAAAACACACACCUAAAUCUGAGCUAAAUGUCUGGGCUCCCAUUAAUAGUCAAAAGAGAAAAACCACCUUGGGAGUCAAAAAACCUUAAAGAAAGUAUCUGAAGUGAGCCAGAUGAAUCAUGCACUGGAAAUGCUUUGACUGGAAAGGAUACGAAUGUGUAUAACCUAGCUCACAUGUAGGCAUCUGUGUUCUACAUGUCUAGAGAUAGAGACAGAGGAGAAAAACCUCAGCAAAAUAUGUUAUGACAUAGCAUUUUAAAUCAAUAGCAAUUGUUACAUUGCCCUGGUUACAGGGAUAGUAGGCGGAGUUUAGCAUUAGGGCUGACCCGAAAUCUUUCUCUACAUCAACCCGCACAAGUUAUCGUCUCUUUAAGACUUGGAGUGAAGCAGAACCUCUGUGUUUUACUCCAGUACACAAAACAGGGAAGGGUACUUCGUGCCUUUAAUAACAAGAGACAGAAACAUGGAGCUCUCCCUUGCGUUCUUUCCGGGCUCUCAAGCAUUUCAAAAUCCCUUCAGCCGCUGCCGUAGGCCAUUUGCCGGUGUGAAAUACAAAGUUAUGUUUCGUGUCAGGGAAAUGAAGAAAAUCUGUGUAAUCAUAGUGAUGGAACACAGCCAUGGGACAGUUAUAAAGAUGAGUUCUAAUAAAUAGCUGAGGAAAGCAUGGAAGGAAGUUUUUGAAUAAAUCUUUUGCUUGCAAUUAUCUAUUAUAAGUCUCAAGCUAUUCUGCAAUUAGUGUUCUUUAAUUAUAACUUUAGAAGCUUGCUUUGUAUUAAAGAAUUUUAAACUGUAGUUUUAGAGUGCAAAAAGGUUUUUUUAGACAAAAGAAGGAAAUAAGGAGGGGGCUCAAGCCUCACACAAGGUGGGAAAACAUCCUGGACAUGAAGAUAUGACUUCAGCUCACUGAUUUAUGGCUCCUGGAGAAGGAAACUGGACAUCACUAUUGGAGAUGGAUGGACUUGAAAAUAGAGAUGGGACCCCCACAUCUGGAAGCCAGAUCCCACCACCUGGAAAAACAUAUCCUGGAAGUACAUCCUGGAGUAUUGAAAUAUCAGAAUAGAUCACAAUGGUCUAUAGAAUUAUACAGGACAAUCUAUAGAUUUAUGGCUGUUAGGUAUUGAAUUGUGACGUUAAAACUAGAAAUGGAAACUGCUGAGAAAGCUUAUGAAUAUGUAUAAAAUACCAUCAAAUCCAGCAAUAGGCGUGCAGUUGGAAGGGAAAACCCCUACCACUGUACCCAGCGCUGCCUCUUUGCUCACACUUUACCAUGUUAAUUAAUUAAUUAUUAAAUUGCUGCUUGAUAUAUUGGCCGUGUCAAGCGUCUCAUUUUUAACACCGGGGAGGGAAGGGGCUUGCCCGCUGCCGCCCGCCGCCGCCUCGCCGGAGCUCAGAGCCGCUCCACGAGUUCCCGGCGGUCCAGCAGCCGCGCCGCACCAGGGACAGCCCCUGGUGGGCGGCGUGGAGCGGGCAGCCCGGCAGCAUUGGCUGCUUUGGGACAAAACAGUUUUUCCAGAAUUUUUUUUUUUUUUUGUUCCUGUUCCCCGUUGGUUAUUCGUUUGGCGAAGAGGGAGGGCGUUCUCCACCAUCUUGUCUGUGUUCCCUGGAACAAUUAGGGCCAUCUCCUCCGCAUUUGUGAGUGCGCGUCGAACCGUUUGCCUUGUGUAUUUCUUGAUUAUUGCUGUUUUGAUAUACCCAAAGUUUACAGUCUCCUUGGGCUCAGUUGAAGAUUAAGACUAUGAUUUAUCCAGAUCACCUGAAAUGAGUUUUCAUUAUUUAUUUUAGGUAAGAGAUUCAUAAAGCCCAUAAACAUUUAUUUCUUUGAUCUUUCACAUGGAAAUUAAAUCAUAUCAACUAAGUACUUGUUCUUUAUUCCUGAAAGUUUAAGUUACAGAUGUCAUUAGAUUUAUUCAAGAGAUACAGGAAGGGCAGUACAAAUUUCUGUGCUACACAAGCUUUUGGCAUACUCCCCAAAUAGUCGUGAUUUAUAUCUUGUAAAAGUACAGUGUAAGAAUGAGCUAAAGCAGAAAUAUCUCAAAAGACUAAAAGGAAUUGUCUAGCAUGAAGCAACAUAAACCUAGUUCUUUCUACUUGAAGUUAUUAUCUUUUCUUAAACUGAAGUUGGGCAUAAUUUUUAAAACAUUUUAGCUGAAACAGAGAAAGGCACCUCCAGAGGACCAGCUUGGAAGUACCUUUUCCUCUGUGCCAACUACACAGCAAUCCUAUGUGAGGUGGAUUAUAAAUUCGGUGUUUAAGUCCAUAUUAGGAGGGAAACAUGCAAAAGCUAAGCACCUCCUGUUACCUGCACUGCUCUGGAACAGUCCAUCAGGUCACCUAUACCCUGUUUUAGCAGCCAAAGACAGUAUCUACUUCCUAGAAGGCAGACAUUGCUAUUUGGCCAGCAGAAUUUGGGGGGAUUCAACCAGACAGAAAUGAGAUUACACUCAUCUGUGUAGUUGUGAUCAAUUAGUAUAUGCUGACAGCCAGGAGGCAGGAAAGGAUGCAAGGCAGCUGAGCAGCAAUCCAUUUCUAUUAGCACUCUUGGAAGCCAUAGAGCCACAAAACUGGGAAAAAUUAACAAAAAAAUUCUAAAUGGAUGGAUCAUGCUAAGGUAGAAGCAAAUCCAUCCUUUUCAAAGGACUGGCCACAGUUGGUUUGGUGGGAUAUUUUUUAGUGUUUUUGGUUUGUUUUUGUUAGGAUGACUGUUAGACACAUUUCACAUCAUCUGUUAUUCUCAAUUUUUGCAUGCAUAAGGGUUCAGUCAACCAGCCAAAAAAAACUUGUGGCAACUUUUCAAUAAACUUUGUUUUCAAUUAAAUAUUCAUCUGUAGAAAGACAACUAGUUAAAUAAAAUCUUAGCACAAAACUCCUGUUUGCAUUAUGUUUAGACUGAACAGCAUCUCUGAAAUACAAAUCAUGAUUUGUAUUGUGAGCUUCUUUGUGAAUUUCUUCUUGUUCAAAGAUGAUGCCACCUUGUACACAAACAAGGAAAUUUCUGGCCAAAUGUUUAUGAUUUACAGAUGCAAGAACUGUACAAGUCUUUGAAAUGGAGUAGGAAGGAAGCCAGGCUCUUCGUCAGACUUUGAGUUUCAGGUUACCUGGCAUACCAGAGCUUUUCGAAAAUUUCCAUUUCUCAGCAGCCUAUAAACAGAAAAGGACUAUCCCCAGAGAGGUCUUCCCAGGAUCCAGUAUCCAACAUCUUACAGAAACAGCAGAAGGGACUUUUUUGAGCAGUGCACAGGAUGUGGAAAGAGAUAUGCACUGCCUUUGUAGUCAGUGCAAAAACUAUACAGAAGCCACAGAGGAAUAUCAAUAUCUAACUCUUAACACAGAUGAACAACUGGGGCAGGGAGCAGGAGGCGCAAAAGGGAGGCUCUCUUAAAUCCUACAUUAAGACUACUGAUUGGGAAGUAAAAACCUUUUCUAAGAGUAGAAGUAGCCUUUCAGCCUUCCAAGAGGGACUUCCAAGGAGUUUUGUUAGAGCUGUCUCUGCUGAAGGUUGUUUCAUUCUAUUUUCCAGAAACUACUUAUUAAGUUCUGAAUAAAAUCAUUUGUGGUCUGGUGCACUGGUCUGGUGCAUACAGAUAAAUCUGUACUGGAAGUGUACCUAAAAUCUGUACCCAAACAGAGGUAGACAAAGUCCACGUUAGCACUUAAAAUAGGCGAAAGAAAGAGAUAAACUGUGUAGCAUCCUCAGCACGUAUGCUCAUGUUACACGUUUUUCUAACCUGCUCUGAGUCUGGUCCUGUGGUCUAAAUGUGCUGCAGGCACAAAUUAAUGGCUGACCCAAACAGCUUUACACUGCAGGAAAAAAAGCACCUAAUUUUAAAGAUCUUAAAUAAUUUUUUACUUUUUCUUCUUCUCUAUAUUCAAUGGUCCAUGUUAUCACAUACAGUCUAGACUACCACACAUAUCAUGAGUUUUUUGGGGGAUAACAGCGUAAAAUUUUUGCAACACAGAGGUAAGUAUUAGUAAUUACUGAUCCUAGCCUUCACACUCCUGGAAAACAUUUCUAAUUUAAAAAAAUACAUUUUUUGCAAAGAAAUUAAAUUUUCAGAAUUCCAAUUCUAAACUGAAAAAUUUGUAAGGGAGCGGUUGUCUGAUGGAAGUCCAAACAUUUUAUAAAAUCUUUUCACAGAGAGUUGAUAUAUCUAUUAUUUGUCAUUUUCAUUAUUAGAAUGAAGCAUGCUUUCACUAUCUUGAAUGUCUUCAGCUUUCAUGUGAGGCAAACCAACAUUAAGAGCAAAAGUAAAAAAGAAGUUUUUACUGACAAUCAUUUCUUCUUACUAGAGUUGGGAUGUUCCCAUUCUCUAGCAAUGUCUUGUCUUAGGCUGCAAAACAUUUAACAUCAAUACACCCACCAUGUUUUUUCUAGUUUUUACCUCAAUUUCAAAGGCACUUUUGUCAAACUGCUCAGCCCCAGUGUAAAGAAAGAUUAAAAAAAAUCAUUCUGAUAUUCUCACUUUGGAAUAUCAGAGUGAUUAAUGCAGUAGCACAGCCUGCACUCAAAUAUCGUGUGCAUUCUUGAACACCACUGGAUGUCAGAACAGCCUUCAACAUUUCUCAACAACACAUUACUGUCAGCUGCCUCACUUAGACAUCUGUUGCACUUGAAAAUCCCCACCUUUCAGACAGUUUAAAGUGGACAUCCAAAACUUAAGGGACUGAAAAUCAUUACUUGCUCCAGAAUAUAUAUAUGUGUGUGUGUGUGUGUGUGUGUAUGUAUAUAUAUAUGUAUGUGUGUAUAUAUAGAUAUGUGUAGUCUUCUGUUGCAUUCAACACGUGCAUAUACAUGUAACAUGCAUAAAUGUAAAGAGAUACAAGCCAGAACAUUUGU